UACGUAGGGUGCAAGCGUUGUCCGGAAUUAUUGGGCGUAAAGAGCUCGUAGGCGGUCUGUCGCGUCUGCUGUGAAAACCUGGGGCUUAACCCCGGGCCUGCAGUGGGUACGGGCAGACUAGAGUGUGGUAGGGGAGACUGGAAUUCCUGGUGUAGCGGUGAAAUGCGCAGGUAUCAGGAGGAACACCGGUGGCGAAGGCGGGUCUCUGGGCCGAUACUGACGCUGAGGAGCGAAAGCGUGGGGAGCGAACAGG
rnacentral:rRNA from 1 species